rnacentral:rRNA from 1 species
GUAGGUGGCAAGCGUUGUCCGGAAUUAUUGGGCGUAAAGCGCGCGCAGGCGGUUCUUUAAGUCUGAUGUGAAAGCCCACGGCUCAACCGUGGAGGGUCAUUGGAAACUGGAGAACUUGAGUACAGAAGAGGAAAGCGGAAUUCCACGUGUAGCGGUGAAAUGCGUAGAGAUGUGGAGGAACACCAGUGGCGAAGGCGGCUUUCUGGUCUGUAACUGACGCUGAUGCGCGAAAGCGUGGGGAGCAAACAGGACUAGAUACCCUGGUAGUCCACGCCGUAAACGAUGAGUGCUAAGUGUUAGGGGGGUUUCCGCCCCCCUUAGUGCUGCAGCUAACGCAUUAAGCACUCCGCCUGGGAGUACGGCCGCAAGGCUG